AACAGGAUUAGAUACCCUGGUAGUCCACGCCGUAAACGAUGUCGACUUGGAGGUUGUGCCCUUGAGGCGUGGCUUCCGGAGCUAACGCGUUAAGUCGACCGCCUGGGGAGUACGGCCGCAAGGUUAAAACUCAAAUGAAUUGACGGGGGCCCGCACAAGCGGUGGAGCAUGUGGUUUAAUUCGAUGCAACGCGAAGAACCUUACCUACUCUUGACAUCCAGAGAACUUAGCAGAGAUGGUUUGGUGCCUUCGGGAACUCUGAGACAGGUGCUGCAUGGCUGUCGUCAGCUCGUGUUGUGAAAUGUUGGGUUAAGUCCCGCAACGAGCGCAACCCUUAUCCUUUGUUGCCAGCGGUUAGGCCGGGAACUCAAAGGAGACUGCCAGUGAUAAACUGGAGGAAGGUGGGGAUGACGUCAAGUCAUCAUGGCCCUUACGAGUAGGGCUACACACGUGCUACAAUGGCAUAUACAAAGAGAAGCGACCUCGCGAGAGCAAGCGGACCUCAUAAAGUAUGUCGUAGUCCGGAUUGGAGUCUGCAACUCGACUCCAUGAAGUCGGAAUCGCUAGUAAUCGUGGAUCAGAAUGCCACGGUGAAUACGUUCCCGGGCCUUGUACACACCGCCCGUCACACCAUGGGAGUGGGUUGCAAAAGAAGUAGGUAGCUUGACCUUCGGGAGGGCGCUUACCACUUUGUGAUUCAUGACUGGGGUGAAGUCGUAACAAGGUAACC
rnacentral:rRNA from 1 species